rnacentral:sRNA from 1 species
CUCACUGCUCAGUGGGCCCAGGCAUUUAGCUCAGGGACUUCACGGGGCUUGCCAAGGCCUUGCUGAGGGAGGGGAAACAGGCGCACCGCCGUGCCAGCCGGCUCACCAGCCAGACGCAAGCCACGCUCCAACAGGUGUCCCGGCAGGCGCUGGCGUCUGAAGCACACAGACAGGAGCUGGAGGAAGCUGAGCGGGUGGGUGCUGGGCUGAGCGAGAUGGAGCAGCAGAUCCGGGAAUCGCGUAUCUCACUGGAGAAGGACAUCGAGGCCUUGUCAGAGCUGCUUGCCAGGCUGGGGUCGCUGGACACCCAUCAAGCCCCAGCCCAGGCCCUGAACGAGACUCAGUGGGCACUAGAACGCCUGAGGCUGCAGCUGGGCUCUCCGGGGUCCUUGCAGAGGAAACUCAGUCUGCUGGAGCAGGAAUCCCAGCAGCAGGAGCUGCAGAUCCAGGGCUUCGAGAGUGACCUCGCCGAGAUCCGCGCCGACAAACAGAACCUGGAGGCCAUUCUGCACAGCCUGCCGGAGAACUGUGCCAGCUGGCAGUGAGGGCCACCCAGAUCCCCGGCACACACUCCCCCACCUGCUGUUUACAUGACCCAGGGUGUGCGCACUACCCCACAGGUGUGCCCAUACAGACGUGCCCCGGAGCCGGCUGCUGUGAACUCGCCCCUGUGUGAAUAGUCACACUCCCUGCCGAUUCUGUUUGUGGCUUCUUCCCUGCCAGCAGGACUGAGUGUGCGUACCCAGUUCACCGAGACAUCAGUGCACACUCUCACCCCUGCACAUGCAUAAACAGGCACACCC